CCUACGGGAGGCAGCAGUGGGGAAUAUUGGGCAAUGGGCGCAAGCCUGACCCAGCAACGCCGCGUGAAGGAAGAAGGCUUUCGGGUUGUAAACUUCUUUUGACAGGGAAGAGUAGAAGACGGUACCUGUCGAAUAAGCCACGGCUAACUACGUGCCAGCGGCCGCGGUAAUACGUAGGUGGCAAGCGUUGUCCGGAUUUACUGGGUGUAAAGGGCGUGUAGCCGGGUUGACAAGUCAGAUGUGAAAUCCUGCGGCUUAACCGCAGAACUGCAUUUGAAACUGUUGAUCUUGAGUACUGGAGAGGCAGGCGGAAUUCCUAGUGUAGCGGUGAAAUGCGUAGAUAUUAGGAGGAACACCAGUGGCGAAGGCAGUCUGCUGGACAGCAACUGACGGUGAGGCGCGAAAGCGUGGGGAGCAAACAGGAUUAGAUACCCGUGUAGUC
rnacentral:rRNA from 1 species